CUGAGAUCAUCUGGAGCUGGUUUGCAGAAAGAAAUGCCUCCCAGUUUAUCCUUCAGGUCACCAGGAGAAGGUCACCUACCUGAUGGCCAGUGACUCCUGAUCCUGGGAAGUCAGGGUGGGACUCUGGGAGCCAGGGACACAGUUCUUUCAAAAGAACAAAGGAGUCACAUGGCAAGGACUAGUGUGCUGGCGGUGUUAAAUGCAUUAGCAAUCUCCUGGAGGUUCAUAAAUAUUGUGUGGGGAAAGGGAAAAACAGCUUGUUUAUUUUGAGCGUGGAGGGCGUUACAUUCAUUUUUUAAAAUGUCAGGCAUAUGCAUGUAAGAUGUGCCUGUUUUCCAGCAAUAUGCUUUUUCCAUAGAAUGCAGAAUUAAAAAUAAAUUGCUAAUGGAGGCACAAAUAAAUGACUGAGAAACAGAGGUAUUUUCAAAGGAAAAUACCAACACCGUCUCUAGCUUAGCAUAUCGCCAAGGUUUUUUUGUUUGUUUGUUUGUUUUUUCCAGAAGAUGCUGGCAGCUUAAUGUAAGCCAAAGCGGGCUUCUCGGUAAAGGCGGCAUGAGCACUGUUUUUCAAUAUGCUUUCUCUAAAUGUGCAAUAAGCACUAUUUUGAAGUCAGUGCUUUUAGCAAGCCUUCUAUUUUUCACUGCAAAGAAACUCAAUUUAUUCUUUGUUCAAAGAAAAAGUGGAAUCACAGCCAUCUCUGAGGGAACUGAUGAAAACAUUGGCAAAACUUUCAGAUAAAAGAGAUCGAAUUGUUUAUGAAGAAAAAAAUAUUUAAAUAUAUAUUCCAUUUUAUUUUCUUUCACAGUCAUUUGGAAAGAAGGGAGCAGAGGUUGAGUCAGGGGGAAGGCUCUGACAUUCUUUCUUUCAGUGGAAAAACCUUUUAAAAAAGCAAUUCAGCAUUUUAAUCAUUACACCAGGUCAUCGGAAAAAAGUACUUAACUUUCGCCUUGAUUUUCAUUUCUUUCACGGUUCCAAGAUGGUAGUUCCUGUGCUGACAGAAACAGAUUUUAGCCCUCCCCAAAACCAGCUGCUGGCUUUCUCUUUUUGGGGGGUAACACAAUCAAUUUUUUUAUAAGUUCUUUCUCUUAUUCUGAGGUGCCUAUAUGCUUGGGUGAAGAUUAUAGGUUAAACUCUACUGAAAGUAAUGGAAUUUACUUUGCCCUUAUAUUUCUGGUCAAUACCCCGUCUGUGGGUAGACUCAGGCUUUCUACUGGAAAUUCUAUUUUCCUAAUGCUACUUCAAGACCCAGCUGUGUAUUCAGAUGUAAGGGCAAUCAAUUGCCAGUUUGGAGGUAAAUGGGAGCAGAGAAACAUUGAAAAGUUAUAUUUUUAGUUUUUCAACUUAAAUUUUUGAAAAAAUGUCAAGGGGUACUCCCAAUUAUCACGAUCAAAAUUUUUCACAAUUCAGCAUAACCUCUGUUUCUUUGUCAAGGAAGGUUUUUGUAUAGUGCUCAGAAUUUUUAUAUAUAUAUAUAUAUAAUUAUACUUUAAGUUCUAGGGUACAUGUGCACAAUAUGCAGGUUUGUUACACAUGUGUAUGUGUGCCAUGUUGGUGUGCUGUACCCAUUAACUCGUCAUUUACAUUUGGUGUAUCUCCUAAUGCUAUCCCUCCCCCUCCCCCUCCCGCCACCCUACAACAGGCCCCAGUGUGUGAUGUUCCCCUUCCUGUGACCAAGUUUUCUCAUUGUUCAUUUCCCACCUAUGAGUGAGAACAUGCAGUGUUUGGUUUUUUGUCCUUGCGAUAGUUUGCUGAGAAUGAUACUUUCCAGCUUCAUCCAUGUCCCUACAAAGGACAUGAACUCAUCAUUUUUUAUGGCUGCAUAGUAUUCCAUGGUGUAUAUGUGCCACACUUUCUUAAUCCAGUCUAUCAUUGUUGGACAUUCGGCUUGGUUCCAAGUCUUUGCUAUUGUGAGUAGUGCCACA
rnacentral:lncRNA from 10 species